rnacentral:lncRNA from 1 species
GAGAAGGUUCUCUUGGUAUGGCCAUGCCAGUCCUGGUGGAGGUCCAUAAGGGAGGACUAGCUGUUGGACCACAACAUCUGGGUUUGGAAUUCUGGCCAUAGCAUCCUCACGGUCCUUCCUAAACUGCCUGUUAACUUACCAUUGCAUCAUGGUUGUCAUGUUGUUUAGAGUAUCCUGGGUCCUUUGUGCUGUGGCCUCU